GAUGAACGCUGGCGGCGUGCCUAAUACAUGCAAGUCGAGCGAACGGACGAUUAUCUUUCUUCUCUGAUUUUAGCGGCGGACGUGUGAGUAACACGUGUAUAACCUACCUAUUUUUCUUGGAUUACUUCGGGAAACCUGAUCUUAUACCGUAUAAUAUUUUGAUCCUCAUGGUUCUAUAGUGAAAUACGGUCUUGCUGUCUCUUAUAGAUUGAUCCUCGCUUCAUUAGCUAGUUGGUAAGUUAACGGCUUACCAAGGCAACGAUGCAUAGCCGACCUGAGAGGGGGAACGGCGAAACGGGAAGGGAGAAAGGGACAAGAGGACUACGGGAGGCAGCAGAAGGGAAUAGUCCGCAAUGGGCGAAAGCAUGACGGAGCAAGGCCGAGUGAGAGAUGAAGGUCAGCGGAGCGGAAAACAGUGUAAGGAGGGAAGAAAAAAUGUGUAAGAAAGUGAGAAGAGAAUGAAGGUAACUAAAAAGAAAGCAACGGCUAACUACGUG
rnacentral:rRNA from 1 species